GGGAUAUUGGACAAUGGGGGGAACCCUGAUCCAGCGACGCCGCGUGAGUGAAGAAGUAUUUCGGUAUGUAAAGCUCUGUCAGCAGGGAAGAAAGAAAUGACGGUACCUGACCAAGAAGCCCCGGCUAACUACGUGCCAGCAGCCGCGGUAAUACGUAGGGGGCAAGCGUUAUCCGGAAUUACUGGGUGUAAAGGGAGCGUAGACGGCUAAUCAAGUCAGAAGUGAAAACCCAGGGCUCAACCUUGGGACUGCUUUUGAAACUGAGUAGCUAGAGUGCAGGAGAGGUAAGCGGAAUUCCUAGUGUAGCGGUGAAAUGCGUAGAUAUUAGGAGGAACACCAGUGGCGAAGGCGGCUUACUGGACUGUAACUGACGUUGAGGCUCGAAAGCGUGGGGAGCAAA
rnacentral:rRNA from 1 species